UACGUAGGCAGCAAGCGUUGUUCGGAAUUACUGGGCGUAAAGAGUGUGUAGGCGGUGCUCUAAGUCUGUUGUGAAAUCCCUCAGCUCAACUGAGGAACUGCAUCCGAUACUGUUUGUCUUGAGGACGAGAGGGGAGAGUGGAACUUCUGGUGGAGCGGUGAAAUGCGUAGAUAUCGGAAGGAACACCAGUGGCGAAAGCGGACUAUCUGGACGGUUUCUGACGCUAAGACGCGAAAGCGUGGGGAGCAAACAGG
rnacentral:rRNA from 1 species